UACGUAGGGUGCGAGCGUUAAUCGGAAUUACUGGGCGUAAAGCGUGCGCAGGCGGUUUUGUAAGCCAGGUGUGAAAUCCCCGGGCUUAACCUGGGAAUUGCAUUUGUGACUGCACGGCUGGAGUGCGGCAGAGGGGGAUGGAAUUCCGCGUGUAGCAGUGAAAUGCGUAGAUAUGCGGAGGAACACCGAUGGCGAAGGCAAUCCCCUGGGCCUGCACUGACGCUCAUGUACGAAAGCGUGGGGAGCAAACAGG
rnacentral:rRNA from 1 species